AGGGACCUAGCGUAGUUCGGAAUUACUGGGCUUAAAGAGUUCGUAGGUGGUUGAAAAAGUUAGUGGUGAAAUCCCAGAGCUUAACUCUGGAACUGCCAUUAAAACUUUUCAGCUAGAGUAUGAUAGAGGAAAGCAGAAUUUCUAGUGUAGAGGUGAAAUUCGUAGAUAUUAGAAAGAAUACCAAUUGCGAAGGCAGCUUUCUGGAUCAUUACUGACACUGAGGAACGAAAGCAUGGGUAGCGAAGAGGAUUAGAUACCCUCGUAGUCCAUGCCGUAAACGAUGUGUGUUAGACGUUGGAAAUUUAUUUUCAGUGUCGCAGCGAAAGCGAUAAACACACCGCCUGGGGAGUACGACCGCAAGGUUAAAACUCAAAUGAAUUGACGGGGACCCGCACAAGUAGUGGAGCAUGUGGUUUAAUUCGAAGAUACGCGCAGAACUUACCAACACUUGACAUGUUCGUCGCGACUCUAAGAGAUUAGAGUUUUCGGUUCGGCCGGACGAAACACAGGUGCUGCAUGGCUGUCGUCAGCUCGUGUCGUGAGAUGUUGGGUUAAGUCCCGCAACGAGCGCAACCCUCACUUUUAGUUGCCAUCAUUAAGUUGGGCACUCUGAAAGAACUGCCAGUGAUAAGCUGGAGGAAGGUGGGGAUGACGUCAAGUCCUCAUGGCCCUUACGUGUUGGGCUACACACGUGCUACAAUGGUAUCUACAACAGGAAGCAAGACUGCGAGGUCAAGCAAAUCCUUAAAAGAUACCUCAGUUCGGAUUGCACUCUGCAACUCGAGUGCAUGAAGCUGGAAUUACUAGUAAUCGUGGAUCAGCGUGCCACGGUGAAUGCGUUCCCGGGUCUUGUACACACCGCCCGUCACACCAUGGGAGUUGGUUCUACCUUAAGGCAAGGUUUCAAACCCUUGACCACGGUAUAGUCAGCGACUGGGGUGAAGUCGUAACAAGGUAGCCGUAGGGGAACCUGCGGCUG
rnacentral:rRNA from 1 species